rnacentral:rRNA from 1 species
GGGUUGUGAGGUUAAGCGAACAAGCGUACACGGUGGAUGCCCUGGCAGUCAGAGGCGAUGAAGGACGUGCUAAU